rnacentral:rRNA from 1 species
GAUGAACGCUAGCGAUAGGCUUAACACAUGCAAGUCGAGGGGCAGCAUGGUCUUAGCUUGCUAAGACUGAUGGCGACCGGCGCACGGGUGCGUAACGCGUAUGCAACUUGCCUCACAGAGGGGGAUAACCCGUCGAAAGACGGACUAAUACCGCGUACACUCCAUCUUGGGCAUCCAAGGUAGAGGAAAUGAAAUUCGCUGUGAGAUAGGCAUGCGUCCCAUUAGCUAGUUGGUGAGGUAACGGCUCACCAAGGCGACGAUGGGUAGGGGAACUGAGAGGUUGAACCCCCACACUGGUACUGAGACACGGACCAGACUACUACGGGAGGCAGCAGUGAGGAAUAUUGGUCAAUGGGCGAGAGCCUGAACCAGCCAAGUCGCGUGAAGGAUGACUGUCUUAUGGAUGGUAAACUUCUUUUAUACGGGAAUAACAAGAGUCACGUGUGACUCCCUGCAUGUACCGUAUGAAUAAGCAUCGGCUAACUCCGUG